UACCAGCACCCCGAGUGGUCGGGACGAUUAUUGGGCCUAAAGCAUCCGUAGCCGGUCCUGCAAGUCUUCCGUUAAAUCCAGCUGCUCAACAGAUGGGCUGCGGAGGAUACUAUAGAGCUAGGAGGCGGGAGAGGCAAGCGGUACUCGAUGGGUAGGGGUAAAAUCCGUUGAUCCAUUGAAGACCACCAGUGGCGAAGGCGGCUUGCCAGAACGCGCUCGACGGUGAGGGAUGAAAGCUGGGGGAGCAAACCGG
rnacentral:rRNA from 1 species